ACCCUCGGGAAACUGAGGUUAACCCGUCAUACCGAUCUCAGGCUUGAAUCGCAGAGAUCACAAAACGCCCCGGCGCUGUAGGAUGUGGUUGCGGUUGAUUAGGUAGACGGUGGGGUAACGGCCCACCGUGCCCAUAAUCAGUACAGGUUGUGAGAGCAAGAACCUGGAGACGGAAUCUGAGACAAGAUUCCGGGCCCUACGGGGCGCAGCAGGCGCGAAACCUUUACACUGCACGCACGUGCGAUAAGGGGACUCCGAGUGCGAGGGCAUAUCGUCCUCGCUUUCGUGUACCGUAGGGUGGUACACCAACAAGGGCUGGGCAAGACCGGUGCCAGCCGCCGCGGUAAUACCGGCAGCCCGAGUGAUGGCCGAUCUUAUUGGGCCUAAAGCGUCCGUAGCU
rnacentral:rRNA from 1 species